AAUCUCAGCAUUCCACCAAGACAAUCUCCAAAAAAGGAAAAGCAAAUGAGCAGGGCUGUUUCUGAGGAUAUGAAAUACUUUACAAUUAAAUAAGGAAGAAGAGGAAACAUUCCAGACAGAAGCAAUCUCUUACUGCAAGAGAAUAAGAAGUAAUAAGAAUUUUCAUCAUUUGAAAUGCAGCCAUGUGGCAAUUUUAUCCAUCCAGAACAACUGACAUACAGUAAAUACUUAACAUGUAGCAGAUUCUGCUGUGUUUUUUGAUGUCUUGUUAUAUUAAAUCUCUUCAACCACACUAUGAGAUUCCAUUCCCUUACCUGUGAAGUGCGGAUGGUUGUGUGGUUGCUGAGGUGCUGUCCAGCUUGGACAUCGAGGAAUUGUAUGAGCACCUUUGAUUGCCUUGCAUGCAGAAACAACUCUGAACCCAGCAGUGUUACUUAGAUUUCACAGAAAAGGGAGGCAGAGAGGAAGAUGUUAGUCAGGACAAGACCAGAACAAAACAAGCGGCCCUAUGUCUAAGUGUUGCUGACCACACUCCAGAAGCCAGAAUUUCUGCAAACUGAUCUUCAGCCCCAGUUCCAUACCCACAGACAUGGACUCCAUAUCCUCAGCAAAGCACAAGAGGGGAAUAAUAAUAGCUCUGUCACAUUUAAUCUUCAAAGCAAAACUUUCUCCAUUUAGAAAAUGAGAAAAUUUCAACUCAGGGAGUUUCAGAAACUUUCCCAGGGUAUCGCAGCUGAAAAACAGUAGAGCCAGCAUUUGAACUCAGGCUGCCGGACUCCUUUACUGUGUGUUCGAAUCCACGCAGUGCUGCAAGACUUGACUAACUCACCCUGUACACCCAUAACUGUCAGACAUCAGAGUCCAUUAAGAAGCUGGGAAUCAAUUAAUUAACAAUUGAUUAGAACUGUUACAAUGUAUUUAGGAUGCAUUUCUGUAUAGGGCUGAGCAUACAGAAAUUAGCCAGAUGUGGUACUUGGUUUCCAGGAACUAUUUACAGUAAAAAAGCAAACACUUAUGAAAUGCUUAUGAUGUUUUACAUGUAUUAAUUUUUUAAACUAAUUGAACAACUCUGUGAGAGAGACAGUAUUAUGUCCCAAUUUUGGAAGAUGAGGAAACUAAGAGGUUAAUAACUUGCUCAAAGUCACAAAGCUGGUAAUCAAACCCAUGCUGGCUGGCUUCAGAGUCAUACUCUUCACUGCCACACUGUGCUGCCUACACUUCCUCAACUCAGUGCAAAUGUGCAAGUGUUCUGAGCCAUGUGACCAGGGACCUAUGCUGGCAAUCUUCAGGCAAUGCCCUGGGACUGUGUUGUGGAGAGAAGCCAUGGAACAGCUGUGAACACUGCCGGGCAGAAUAACAUGGACAGGUAGAAAGCCUGGAAUAUAAAUAAUUCUGAGAAGGCAAGAAGGUCAGAGGAGGAAGUGGAGGAGGGUGAACUGGAAGGCAGGGGUAUCCAGGGAUGGUUUUCUUAGGGAGGAACACCUCUUCCUUUCCAAGACCACAGCCUUACCUCCAUUCUCCUCAUCUCCCCCCUACCCUAUGCUAACCCCACAUGGCUUCGUUUCCCCUUCAGCUCCAUCCUUGCCAAGGUGACAUGCACAGGGCCCCACUGGAGAGUCCAGUUUGUUUUGCAUCUGCUCAGGAGAGAGCAUCCUUGGGACCUGAGGAUUAGUCAAGGGAAGGAGGGAAUUGGCCUACUCUAGGCAAAAGCUAACCCUGACUCCGCUCUGGGGUAGACCCAAGCCUAAUCACACACCUUCUGGCUCUUACCUCAAUGUUCUUUCCUGAAUGUUGAAAAGUCAGGGCAGAGAAUUAAGGGUUAUUUUUAAAAAUCACAUAAACAAUGCAAAAUCAGGAAAUAGAAAACAUUCAUCCCUAUCCUUCCUUUAGGGAUGCAGGAACCCAGGACUCUGGCAGCUCCAUGAUUGUCUGAAAGCAACACAGCCACACUUCCAUCUAAGACACCUAAGCCCCUUCCCCAUCACAAGCUUCCUCUCCUGGGUCGUGUUUCUCAGAAAUUUACUCUUUUCUAGACAACAAUAAGACUAAAGGGAUAAACCAAAUCAACUAACUUUUGCUGGUGCCUUAGAGUAUUUAAAAGGGAAAAGUCUCCAGGAGAUACACGUAAGAAUCCAAUAAGGGAGAAUUUAGAACCCAAUAAACAGACCUUUGCAUGUCCUUCAAUAACAUCAUACCAUUUUCUGCUCAUUCAUUUACAAUGACAGCUGGCCGAGGGGAAUCAUGAGGUGGCCUGCCUUCCCUCCUUCCUUCCUUCCUUCCUUCCUUCCUUUCCCUCCUUCUUCAUCUCCCUCAACUGUAUCUCUCUGAUUGUCCUUUCCUUCUGCUCAUCCCUCCUCCUUUCCCCUGAUCCCUCACAUAAAUACUUACUGAGUGCUAAUUUUAUGCAAGACUUUGGUCUAAUAACAUAAAAUUAACCACAUAAAUAUCCAGCCAGCUUGGGCAUUUUGUAUGGCAGACCAUGUCUAAUUGCGCAUGAAAGCUGCAACAUAUUGGUAGGAACCAUUUUACAACUUAAAAAAAUUAGUGGCAAGGCGCGGUGGCUCACACCUGUCAUCCCAACACUUUGGGAGGUUGUGGCAAGUGGAUCACCUGAGGUCAGGAGUUUGAGACCAGCCUGGCCAACAUGGUGAAACCCAUCCCCCCACUCUACUAAAAAUGAAAAAAUUAGCCAGGCGUGGUGGCACAUGCCUGUAAUCCCAGCUACUCGGGAGGCUGAGGCAGGAGAAUUGCUUGAGCCUGGGAGGUGGAAGUUGCAGUGAGCUGAGAUCAUGCCAUUGCACUCCAGCCUGGGCAACACAGAAAGACUCUGUCCCCCCCCACAAAAAAAAAAGUAUGACUGUCCAUAAUGGAUAAUCACAAAUCAUAUAUUUUCUUUCUCUCUUCAGUUAUAGACUAGAGUUGCUAUGAUUAAAAAAUAUAUACAGGCAUACCUCAGACAUAUUUAGGCUUUGAUUCCAGACCACUGCAAUAAAGUGAAUAAUGCAAUAAAGUGAGUCACACAAUUUUUUUUGUUCCCCAGUGCAUAUAAAAAUUAUAUUUACACUAUACUAUAAAUGUGAAAUAACAUUAUGUCUAAAAACAAUAUGCAUGCCUUAAUUUAAAAACACUUAUUGCUAAAAAAUGCUAAUGAUCACUUCAGUCUUCAGCAAGCCAAAAUUUUUUUUGCUGGUGGAGGGUCUUACCUCCAUGUUGAUGGCUACUGACUGAUUACUGAAGAUUGGGGUGGCUGUGGCAAUUCUGAAAAAUUUAAGACAACAAUUAAGUUUGCUGCAUUGAUUUAUUCUUCUUCCCAUGAAAGAUUUCUCUGUAGCAUGUGAUGCUGUUUCAUAGCAUUUUACCGAUAGUAGAACUUUUUCCAAACUUGGAUUCAAUCCUCUGAAACCCUGCCGCUGCUUUAUCAACUAAGUUUACAGAAUAUUCUAAAUUCUUUGUUGUCAUUUCAACAAUGUUCACAGCAUCUUCAUCAGGAGUAGAUUUUAUCUCAAGAAACCACUUUCUCUGCUCAUCCAUAAGAAGCAACUCCUCAUACAUUCAAUUUUUAUCAUGAGAUUGCACAAUUUAGUCACAUCUUCAGGCUCUAUUUCUAAUUCUAAUUGUCUUGCUAUUUCCACCACAUCUGUAAUUACUUCCUUCACUGACAUCUUGAACCCCUUAAAGUCAUCCAUGAGGGUUGGAAUCAGCUUCUUCCAAAGUCCCAUUAAUGUUGAUCUAUUGACUUCCUCCCAUAAAUCACAAAUGUUCUUAAUGGUGUCUAGAAUGGUGAAUCCUUCCCAGAAGGUCUUCAAUUUACUUUGUCCAGAUCCAUCAGAAGAAUCACUACCUAUGGCAGUGAUAGCCUUAAAUCUAUUUUUUAGAUGAUGAUAUUUGAAAGUCAAAACUACUCCUUGACAUGGGCUGCAUGUUUUUAGGCAUGAAAACAUUAAUCUCCUUGUACAUCUCAAUCAGAGCUCUUGGGUGACCAAGUACAUUGUCAAUAAGAAGUAAUAUUUUGAAAAAUAUCUUUUUUUCUAACAAUAUGUCUCAACAGUGGGCUUAAAAUACUAAGUAAAUCAUGUUCUAAACAGAUAUACUGUCAUCCAGGCUUUGUUCCAUUUAGAGAACAAGGGCAAAGUAGAUUUAGCAUAAUUCGUAAGGACCCUAGGAUUUUUGAAAUUAUAAAUGAGCACUGACUUCAAUUUAAAGUCACCCAGCUGCACUAGCUCCUAACAAGAAAAUCAGCCUGUGCUUUGAAGCUUUGAAGUCAAGCAUUGAUUUCUCUUCUCUGGCUAUGAAAGUCCUAGAUGGCUUCUUCUUCCAAUAGGGGGCUAUUUUGUCUACAUUUAAAAUCCGUUGUUUACUGGAGCCAUCUUUAUCAAUUAUUUUAGCUAGAUCAUCUGGAUAACUUGCUACAGUUUCUACAUCAGCACUUGCUGCUUCACUUUGCACUUUUAUGUUGGGGACAUGGCUUCUUUCCUUAAACAUUAGGCACCAAUAUUUGCUAGUUCCAAACUUUUCUUCUGCAGCUUCCUCAACUUCUCUCAGCCUUCACAGAAUUGAAGAGAGUUAGGGCCUUACUCUGGAUUAGGCUUUGGCUUAAAGGAAUGUCGUGGCUGGUUUUCAUCUUCCAUCCAGACCACUCACUUUCUCGCUAUAAACAAUAAGGCUGUUUUGCUUUCUUAUCAUAUGAAUGAUCAUUGAAUAAUCUCUGAAUCACCUUUGGGUAAUUCUUCUCUUUCCUUUAAGAAUAGCACAGGCUCACAGUCAAAGAGCUCUAUGGCUCAGUCCUGUAGAAUCCAAGAGGCCCAACAGCCUUCCUUCAUUCUGUCCUAUGUUCUCUGUCCCCUUUAGUUCAAACUGAUAGCAUCUCAGCAAGUAUAAUCCCAUCUCUGUUCCUAGCUUCUGCUGAGAUGGCUGUCAGUUCAUGAUUUGCAGUCAUGGUCUCUUUCUCAACUGGUUUUCAGUUACACUCUUAGUGUUAUCUUCAUAACAAACUUUCUCAUUUUUUUUGCAAUAUGGAUAGACUGAGAAUUUUCCAAAUCUCCAAGUUCUGGUUCCUAUUUGUUUAACAAUUUAUUCUUCCAUUCCUCUCUCUCUUUCUGGCAUUUUGCUAUAAGUAGUAAGAGGGAUCCAAAUCACACCUCCAGUACUUUGCUUAAAAAUGCUUUGAAAUCUCUCCAGCUAUUCAAUUAUACUACUCACAAGUUCUACCUGCCACAAAACACUAAAAUAAAAUUCAGCCAAGUUCUUUGCCGCUAUCUAAGAAUCCCAGUUUCUCUAGUCCGAUAACCUGUUCCUCAUUUCUGUCUGAGUCCUCACUGGAAUGUCUAUAUUCCACCAUUCUAGUCAUAAUUAUCCUUGUGUUCUCUGAAAAGAUGGAAGCUUUGUCUACAGCUGUUCUCUUUUCUUUCUGAGCCUUCAUCAGAAUUACCUUUAAAGUCCAUAUUUCUACCAACAGUCCCAUCAUAGCAAUGGCUUUUUCUAGAAUGGACCUCAAAACUUGUCCAGCCUAUGGCCAUCACCUAGUUCCAAAGCUGCUUUCAUGUGUUUAGAUAUUUGUUAACAGUAGCACCCACUUCUCAGUACCAAAAUCCGUCUUAGUCUGCUCAGGCUGCCAUCACAAAAGACCGUAGUGUGGGUGGCUUAAACAACAGAAAUUGUUUCUCUCAGUUCUGGAGGCUGGGAAGUCCCAGAUCAAUUUGCUGGUCAGUUUGGUUUCUGGCGAAGUCGCUCUUCCUGGCUUGCAGUUGGCCACCUUCUUGCUUUGUCUUCAUAUGCCUUUCCUCUGUGUUUACGAAGAAAAAAAGAGAGAAAUAUCUCUCUCUUACUCUUCUUAUAUAAGUCUUAUAAGACUUAUAAUCCUAUCAGAUUAGGGUCCCAUUCUUAUAAUCUCAUUUAAUGCUAAUUAUCUCCUAAAGAUUCUAUCUCUAAAUAUAGUCACAUUGGGAAUUAAGGGUUCAACAUUUUUGACAUUACAGAUUUGGGGGUCACAAUGCAGUCCAUCCACUUAGUUUGGCUGUCCUUUGAAGAAAAUAACUCUUUAACUGUCUACAUUACAUGUUGCCUAGAAAUAAAAGACUUAUUUUCCAGUGUAACUAUAACUCAGAAGUUUUCAACCUUGAAUAUCCUUAAACUUUCUCUUGUUCCCCAUACAACAACAAUAAUAAAAUAAUAAUAAUACAUUUGGGAGGAAAAAAUAUUACCCUAAGAGAUAUCUUUGUUUACUGAGCAGUAAUUUCCCAACAGAAAUUAAUUCCAAGCAAAUUUACAUUUUACAUUUAAAGAAGAUAUAAAUAAUUCAUAUUUUCAUAUCAUCAGCACUGUGCAUUUCCUACACUGGGGUGCCUGUAAUUUUUUCAGUUUGUCUGUUCUAAAUUUUGGUUCCAUAGCUCAUUAUCACAUUGUUUGUGCUUCUGUUCCAAGGUGGAAAUUUAAUAGUCUUCAAUAGAAUUAUGUUCAAUUAAAAUGUAUUCAGUUUUACCAUUCAAAACCUUUUUAGUUUCUAAUUUAAUUGUUGUAGGCUUCAUUUUUAGGUACCAUUGACAUACCUUAUUUGCUCACUGCACUCACACAAAUACCAAACCUUCUAAGUAAAUGAAAUCCAUGACAACUAAGGGUGUGCCUGAGCUACUUCUCCCUGUGUACAAUAUGACUCAUUCAUGCCAGACUCUUGGAAGGAACUGAUUCAGCAAAAUUUUCUUCUAGUAACUUCAACAUUUUGAUUUUACUGUCUCCUUAAUGGGCUGCACUGUGUAGGAAAUUGAGUAGAUUUUUUUUCCAACUCCUGUUGCUUUUUUGAAAAGCUCAUGUCUAUUUAUAUUACGGUGCUACAUUCAGCAUCAGUCUGCAUAUUACAUAUUCAUGACCUAUAUCUAGAUAGAUUUAUAAGCAAGAGCCCAGGGAAUACCAAGCUGUAAACUGCGUAAACCUCACUGGUUUCUUCACUAAACUUCGCAAAUUGUAGAGUGUGGGUUUUGUCAGGGAAGUCAUCUAAAAGUUGCAAGAAGUAUUCUAUCUACUGUUUACAGUAAUUUCACUUGAAAGGAUAUGUGACAUGUUUCAAGUAAUAAAAAAAGUCAAACAGGUGACAUAAAAGGUAAGAUGUAAAAUUUUACAUCAAAUCUCACCUACUACACCUAAAUAAUAAUGAAAAUGUAAGUGCUAUUUAUAGUCAUCUAUGUUUCAAUUGAUAAUUCAGGGAAGCAAACAUAUUACUUUCAUGGCUCUUUAGAGGCUGGUAAGGCCCUGAGACCUCCUCUGAGGUCUCCAAGAGAACAACAUAUAAGACAGGGAAGAAUGCAUAUUCAGAAUUUCUCUAUUAUAGCAAAGACCUCUUUGAUCAUCUCCAUCCCCCUUGGAUUUUGUCCACCUCUGUUGAUGGGUAAAAACGAAUGAGAAAAAGAGAUGUCGGAGGAUGAGUGGUGGGAGAAUUCUAGGGUAACAGCAAAAAGUCUAUGGAAGAAUGUGAUGAUGGCUGUGGCCUUGGGAUUGGGGAUCAGGGAAUGCGCCUCACCUAUUUACUCAAUGCACCAAAACCCACAGAACUGGCCUUCUCACCAUACCCACAAACCUCAUUAUUAAUUCAGUGAUUUCCUUGACUCCUUGCUGCUGUUGCUUGAGCAAGCAUGAGUUUCUCUCCAUGGGGUCCCUGGAUCUUUGGUUCUUGCUAAGUUGUCAUUUUAUUUGAAAGGAUCAAGAGCCCACAAUGUAUGUGAAUAUAAAUAUAAUCCUUUGAAAAUAUGGGGGGAUGGGGUUCAAGCACUAAUAAUUCCAUUUUCUUAAUCCAAAAAGGAAAACGACUGUAAUUAGGCUGAGAUGUCUGCCAAGUUUCAGCCUGGAGGGACUAUUUUGGCCAAGAUAUAAACCCCUGAGAAUAGAGGCUUAUAAUGGACGCAUCAAAUCACACUUAACUAUGGCAG
rnacentral:lncRNA from 1 species